rnacentral:rRNA from 1 species
AUUGAACGCUGGCGGCAGGCCUAACACAUGCAAGUCGAGCGAGAGGCGGACGGGUGAGUAAUGUCUGGGAAACUGCCUGAUGGAGGGGGAUAACUACUGGAAACGGUAGCCAAUACCGCAUACCAUCAGAAGUGCCAAGAUGGGAUUAGCUAGUAGGUGGGGGAACGGCUCACCUAGGCGACGAUCCAUAGCUGGUCUGAGAGGAUGACCAGCCACACUGGAGCUGAGACACGGUCCCGACUCCUACGGGAGGCAGCAGUGGGGAAUAUUGCACAAUUGGCGCAAACCUGAUACAGCCAUGCCGCGUGUGUGAAGAAGGCCUUCGGGUUGUAAAGCACUUUCAGCGGGAAGGCGUUACCCGCAGGAGAAGCACCGGCUAACUCCGUGCCAGCAGCCGCGGUAAUAC